rnacentral:lncRNA from 1 species
CAGUUGCCCUGAGUUGUCUACCCUACCCAGCAGCCCAUGGCUGCCUUGUCACCAUCCUCGACCCCUGCUGAGCCACUUUAUUGAGCCUUAAGGCUAAAAAAAAAAUGAAGAAGAAAGAAAAUUAAAUGUUUCUUACCUUGGUACGAUGUGGAGAAGGAAAACAACGACAACAAUUAACUCUUCGCAAGGGCAAGCAAAGAAGAAAACUAGGGGAAUGGUUUACAAUAUCCUCUAGCCUUUUCUCUAUUAUUGGAUAAAAAUUGUUUUGCAAAUUUAUUUAACCCCCUUACUUGAGGCAUGCUUAAAUAGUUUUUGGUGGCAAUUAGUUUCCCUUUCUUAGAAAACUCUAUUUCCAUGUCAAAGUGGAAGAUCUACAUCCAAUUAGGAAACAACUUUGUGCUCAUGUAUGCAGCUUGGAAUUUCUACACCUACUGUCAUUUUCCGCUUAAAGCCCAGCAGGUGAGGGGUCAUUUGUGGAGCUAAAAAUAAUCCAAAAAAUUCAGAAGACAACACGUGGACUUUUUCUCAAGAAAGACAAAAUUUCCCUCAUUAAAUGGACAGGGCUCUCAAAUACUCUCAUGUGAAGUUUAACAACCCUGAAGGUCCAAACAACUGACUACGAUUGCUCAAGGCUCCACUGCUCGUGGCAUGGAAAAGUCAAGGGCAUUAAGGAUAGGAUUAAUUACUAAAUCCUAUCUUCAAUACAUUGCCAAUUGAAGAUGAACUCCAUUAAAUACUCAUUUUCAGAGAUACUAACUUAUGCAUCCAAAAUCCAUUGGCCAAAUCCUCAUACCUUAUGGGCGCAUGACACUUUGGUCUUUGAUUAAAGGUGUCAAUUGUUUUGUAGGUACAUAUUUGUCAAGAUUGAAGUCAACAGAUUUUUGCUGCCAUGACAACGACAUACUUAAACUGAUACCAUAUGAGCAAUUCAGCUUUUAUACCAAAAUUGUUAUUACUUAUAUAGAUAUACAUAUACACAUAAACAAUGGUUACUUGAUGUGAAAUUUAACUAACUAGCACUCAAAUUAAACCCUAUUAUUGACAAUUGUAGUAAAGAUGUAAGUAGGGAUCGUUCUAGGUUGGGGAUUAGGAGGGAUGCUAAUCUACUCAAAUUUAACUCAAAAACACUUAACUAGGCUUGAAAACACUAAACUAGACUCUUAUGAACUCAAAAUGAAUUAAAAAGACUCAAAACAACACAAAACAAUCACAUAGACUCAAACUAGACACUAGAGGGUUAAUUGGACGAAAAUUGAUUUUAACUUGAGUCAAAACACUUAAAAACACUUAAAAACAUUUAAAAACACUUAAAAACACAAAUUGGACUGAUUCUAACUAACUUGACACAACAAAGUAAAGGGGAUUGGGUUUUUGACGAAUUUAAAGUAAAACUAAAUAGAUUUCAGACUCUAAAUAACUUUGGACGAAAUUUGUGAUUUAAUGGGUGAAUGGCUAGGUAGAGGGUUCUCUCCACACAUGACACACUUGCAUACAAAUCGAUUUCCAGUUACUUUUCCAAUAAACCAUGAACCUCAACGCCCCAGAUUAAUCGUGAACAACACUAAUUAAUCCUCAUAUUUUCCUCAAGUCAUUGAAUUGGAUGGACAACGCAUCGGCAACCAAAUUAUUCUUCAAUAAUUCCCUACACGAACAGCAUAAUAGAGAUACAAUCAAAGAUCAUUAAGCUUUGUGAAAAUUAUAAGCAUUGACAAGGCAUUCAUAACUAUGAAAAGCAUGAUACUCUUGCCAGGAAUUCACUUAACACGAUUGUGAUUAGCAACCUCCACUACUUGUGAAUAUAAGUUCAUAACCAUUAGGUGAAAUUCCCUUAUAUUCUAGCAUCAAAUCCCUGCAUGGAAACUAAGUGUGCACCCUUAAUCAACAAACAAGAAUAAGUUAUGAAUCAAAUAGUUAAGUAAAUUGCAUUCAUGAUUCGUGAAAUCACAACUGGAAGUAAUCAAUUCAUAUUGCAAAUAUGUUCAUGGCUUUGAAUUUCCCCCUAGCUAAAACGAGUUUAGCUCCUCAUGUUUGCAAUUAAACAAAGACAAUUAAAUUUAAACAUUGAAACAACGGAUAGAAUACACCUAGAAACUCUCCAAUAAUCCAACGUCUUGAAUGGCAAGCACGGCUUGAGGGGUCUCCUUUCUUAUCUCCUUGUAGAGCUGCAGCACAAUGGGAUGAAUGUGUAUGAGUGAUGUAUGGGACGAAUUUGUGAUGGAAGGUGGGUAAUUUCUGAGUGCUGUGGCACUUUAUAUUUAUAGGGAGAAUGUAAGGCACAACUAGGGUGAGUGGGAGGAGAAUUAAGACUCUAAAUCAUCAAGGAAUAAGUAUACUUCUAAUCAGAUUCCAGGGAAGAAAAGAAUUAAUGUGUUUAGAUGGAUUAGGACUCCUAAAUUUAGAUGGGAAGGAUUUAGAAUAGGAUAAGGACUUCUUUUGUAGCUGGAGAUAAGGUAGGAUAAGAUUAGGAUGGGAUAAGAUAAGAUAAGGUUAGUUUGGAUAAGAUAAGGUUGGAUAAGGUUUUGGAUAAUGUUCAUUGUUUUUAGUUGAAUCCUUAUCUUCUUUGUCUUGAAUUCAUUUUCUUCAUCUUUUCAGCACAUUCCUAGCCUUUUGAACUUCAAAAACGUCCAUCCACCUUGCUCCAUGCAUGUGCUAUCCAUUCUUGGCCCAAAACUGUUCCAAAUUGCACUUUCUUGCCAAGUUUGUCAUUUGGACCCAAGUUUGUCAUUUGGACCUACAAACACACGAAAAUAGCUUAAAACACUAUAAUAAACAUAAACUAACUAUGAAAGUGCAAGAAAACAAGCUAAUUAAGUCGCAUAAAUAUGCUCCUAUCAAAUUCCCCCACACUUAGCUUUUGCUAGUCCUCGAGCAAAACAAAACGAACAAAACAUAACCUAUACCUUCCAACGUUUGCCUCAAGGAUUUCCAAUGAAACAUGACAUGCUAAAAAUCACUACUCCCAUAGAUUUUAGCUAUCCUUAUGUUGGAAAUAUGCCCUGAAAGUCAAUCUUUGGAAGAAACCUUUCAGGACAAAUGAAUUGAUGUAUGGAUGAUUCUUAUACAUCAAAUGGCAAAGACACGAAUUAGGACUAUCAAUAAACGAUAUAUGUCCUAAAUAGUGUAUCCAUGGACAGUGGAUCGAUUGAAGAAGUAAUCUAAUGAUGUUAGACUACAGAGACCUUCUUCACAUAACCAAAUGUCCAAAAAGGUUCCUGGUCGUUGGAUUGUCGGAGGGAUACUGUCAAUGCGUAGACCGGUACAUACUGUGUCUGCUUCAAUUGGAAGGAUGGAAAGUCUCAUCCCAUUCGUGUUGUGACACUAAGACAAGUAUGUAGGUGCUCAUUAGGGGAAUGAGUUCACUGAACACAAUCGAAUGAGAGUACUUGCAUGGAGGUCUACUCACAUGUCAAGCAAGUAACUCUAAUGGUUGGAAAGAUGUAAGUAAUCCUUAGACCUGAGGCAUCGUCGUUGUCUUGUGGUUAAGUACUUAAUCUUUGAUUAUGUCAAAGUCUCCCCAUUCGAGGGUGUCCACGACAUAAUUGGGGUUAAGCCACUUAGUCAUAAAGGCAAGUGUAUGCGCAACAAGGAAUCUCUAAUCCUCGAUAAGAGAGGAAGAAUACUCUAAGAUAUGAUUCGGGAAUCUUCGGCCGAAGUAUCGAGCGUAAUAAAGGAAAGCGUUCCUAUACGACUCAUUUGAAUCAUAUAAGAAGGAAUAAUCACAUUAGGG